GUUGCCAAUUUCUUUCUCCUCCUUCUUCCUCUUUUGCCAGUAAGUUCAAGCAGUUGCCAGACCGUUUUUUUCUCCUCUGAUCCUUCCUGAAAGUCAGGCCUCCCUGGACGAUUUGUUCUCAGACAGUAUAGCAGGACUUUCCUUGACCCUAGCUCACUGGAAGCCGUUUGCUUUUCCUUCUGGGAGAUGGUUGGGCGGUUGGGUCCCUGCAGGGAUGCUCCUGAGCCAGGGAUGAAACCUGGGUCUCCUGCAUCGCAGGCGGAUUCUUUACCGUCUGAGCCACCAGGGAAGCCCCACUCCUCCAGUUACCUGGCAUUUAUUCUGUCUCUGAAGAAACCCCUCCCCUGUUCAGCUGCAACACUUGGAAAAUGGCAUCCGGGCACUGUUACCAGGACAAAGGCAUCGAUCUCGGCUGAGAGAACGCUGAGAUGUAUUGACAGAGAGGUUUGCAUCGAUCCAGCAGGAAGUAAGCGGUGUGUGGUCACCUGCCCGGGAAUGAGACCCACUCCGUACGAGAGACGAGGGGGCUACAGACGACGGGGAGGCUCGGGGCUCCGAGGCUGCAGGACCCCCGGCCUGGGGUCACCGAGACAGCCUCCUUCCCCAGGAUGAGCAGAGCGGCUGCAGAGUGGUGGGGAGAGGCCGCCCACGGAGGGGUGGGCGUGGACACGGCAUGGCCCUGCCUGGCCCACCCACAGGGAGACACGCGGUGGAGCCCCCGGGGGUCUCCCAGGACCAGCUCCUCCCACCCCGACCUCAGGGGAAGAGCUGUGGUCAUGGAAACCGCUCCAUCGUCUGAAUUUCAGAGCUGGGAAUAUUUGAGUCAAUCAAGAAAUUCAAUUAGCGGAGUGACAUGUUGUCACGCGUGGCUCUGCCGCCCCGCUUCCCAUUUUCCGGGAGAUAAUUGGUGUAUUUGCGACAAAACUGCAAUUCAAUAUUUAUCGGCUGCUGCUUUUCAAUAAAGGAAUACUCGGUUAGACCCUC
ensembl:lncRNA